GAUGAACGCUGGCGGCGUGCCUAACACAUGCAAGUCGAGCGGCAGCGAGGGGUGCUUGCACCCUGUCGGCGAGCGGCGGACGGCUGAGUAACGCGUGGGAACGUGCCCCAAAGUGAGGAAUAACUGCCCGAAAGGGUAGCUAAUACCGCAUAUUAUCUUCGGAUCAAAGGAUUUAUCCGCUUUGGGAGCGGCUUGCGUCGGAUUAGGUAGUUGGUGAGGUAAUGGCUCACCAAGCCGACGAUCCGUAGCUGGUCUGAGAGGAUGACCAGCCAGACUGGAACUGAGACACGGUCCAGACUCCUACGCGAGGCAGCAGUGAGGAAUCUUCCACAAUGGGCGAAAGCCUGAUGGAGCAACGCCGCGUGCAGGACGAAGGCCUUCGGGUUGUAAACUGCUUUUAUAAGUGAGGAAUAUGACGGUAACUUAUGAAUAAGGAUCGGCUAACUACGUG
rnacentral:rRNA from 1 species